GACGAACGCUGGCGGCGUGCUUAACACAUGCAAGUCGAACGGAAAGGCCCCUUUGUUGGUCCUCGAGUGGCGAACGGGUGAGUAACACUUGAGUAACCUUCCCUUGACUUCGGGAUAACUUCAGGAAACUGGGGCUAAUACCGGAUAGGAAUCCUUUCUGCAUGGUGGUGGUUGGAAAGCUUCGGCGGGUUUUGAUGGACUCGCUGCUUAUCAGCUUGUUGGUGGGGUAGUGGCUUACCAAGGCUUUGACGGGUAGCCGGACUGAGAGGGCGACCGGCCACACUGGGACUGAGAUACGGCAGAGACUGCUAAGGGAGGCAGCAGUGGAGAAUAUUGAACGAUGGGCGGAAGCCUGAUGAAGAAAGGCCGCGUGCGGGAUGACGGUGUUAGGGUUGAAAAACGCUUUCAGCAGGGGCGAAGCUUGUAGUGACGGUACCUGAAGAAGAAGCACCGGCUAACUACGUG
rnacentral:rRNA from 1 species